rnacentral:rRNA from 1 species
UACGUAGGGUGCGAGCGUUAAUCGGGAUUACUGGGCGUAAGCGUGCGCAGGCGGUUUGUAAGCCAGAUGUGAAAUCCCCGGGCUCAACCUGGGAAUGGCAUUUGGGACUGCAAGGCUGGAGUGUGGCAGAGGAGACUGGAAUUCCUGGUGUAGCAGUGAAAUGCGUAGAUAAUCAGGAGGAAUACCGAUGGCGAAGGCAGGUCUCUGGGCUGACACUGACGCUCAUGCACGAAAGCGUGGGAGCAACAGGAUUAGAGUACCCUGGAUAGU